AGGCUGUGAGCUCGAUGAGUAGGGCGGGACACGUGAUAUCCUGUCUGAAGAUGGGGGGACCAUCCUCCAAGGCUAAAUACUCCUGACUGACCGAUAGUGAACCAGUACCGUGAGGGAAAGGCGAAAAGAACCCCGGCGAGGGGAGUGAAACAGAACCUGAAACCGUGUACGUACAAGCAGUGGGAGCCUUCGUAAGAGGGUGACUGCGUACCUUUUGUAUAAUGGGUCAGCGACUUAUAUUCUGUAGCAAGGUUAACCGUAUAGGGGAGCCGAAGGGAAACCGAGUCUUAAUUGGGCGUUAAGUUGCAGGGUAUAGACCCGAAACCCGGUGAUCUAGCCAUGGGCAGGUUGAAGGUUGGGUAACACUAACUGGAGGACCGAACCGACUAAUGUUGAAAAAUUAGCGGAUGACCUGUGGCUGGGGGUGAAAGGCCAAUCAAACCGGGAGAUAGCUGGUUCUCCCCGAAAGCUAUUUAGGUAGCGCCUCGUGAACUCAUCUCCGGGGGUAGAGCACUGUUUCGGCUAGGGGGCCAUCCCGGCUUACCAACCCGAUGCAAACUGCGAAUACCGGAGAAUGUUAUCACGGGAGACACACGGCGGGUGCUAACGUCCGUCGUGAAGAGGGAAACAACCCAGACCGCCAGCUAAGGUCCCAAAGUCAUGGUUAAGUGGGAAACGAUGUGGGAAGGCCCAGACAGCCAGGAUGUUGGCUUAGAAGCAGCCAUCAUUUAAAGAAAGCGUAAUAGCUCACUGGUCGAGUCGGCCUGCGCGGAAGAUGUAACGGGGCUAAACCAUGCACCGAAGCUGCGGCAGCGACACUAUGUGUUGUUGGGUAGGGGAGCGUUCUGUAAGCCUGCGAAGGUGUGCUGUGAGGCAUGCUGGAGGUAUCAGAAGUGCGAAUGCUGACAUAAGUAACGAUAAAGCGGGUGAAAAGCCCGCUCGCCGGAAGACCAAGGGUUCCUGUCCAACGUUAAUCGGGGCAGGGUGAGUCGACCCCUAAGGCGAGGCCGAAAGGCGUAGUCGAUGGGAAACAGGUUAAUAUUCCUGUACUUGGUGUUACUGCGAAGGGGGGACGGAGAAGGCUAUGUCGGCCGGGCGACGGUUGUCCCGGUUUAAGCGUGUAGGCUGACUUUCCAGGCAAAUCCGGAAGGUUAAGGCUGAGGCGUGAUGACGAGGCACUACGGUGCUGAAGUGACAAAUGCCCUGCUUCCAGGAAAAG
rnacentral:rRNA from 1 species